rnacentral:sRNA from 1 species
AAGGUGGUCUACAAGCUUCACUACUACCACGACGGCCAGGCCGUGCGCUACUUCCACUCCAGCGCCAACUACACUGUGUUACAGGCGCGUGCCAGCGACAGUGGACGCUACCAGUGCUCGGGCACCAUGCGCAUCCCGGUGGAGAGCGCGCCCUUGUUCUCCGCUAAGGUGGCUGUGACAGUGCAAGGUAGGAGAGACCAGGGGCCCCGGGAGGGAGGCAAAUGAGCACUGAGAAAUUCUGGGACAGGAGCUCGGCGGGAAAAGGAGGGGAGGAAGUUCAAAUAGCUGCCACUUGGAGGGUUUCUCUUAGACUAUGGACGCUGUCUCCUCUCCUUUGCCGUGAAGCAGCGCUUGAUCCGCCGCCUGCUUGGAGGCUGGUCCCUUUCCCCGACGCACACCCUGGCUUCUCACUCUGGCUGGGGAUUCCCACAUAGAGGGCAGCUCUGGCAGGGGCAGGGGCCACUGUGGGACUGGGACGAAGGAGCGACUCCCUAGCGUCCUGCAAGGCAGGCGCAGCGUCUCCUAUUCUAGGCUGCAGAACCCGGGCUGAGUGUCAGUCGGGAUGUGACAUGAAGGGUCUGACCCGGUCCCUCUUCCUUUCAAGCUUUCCCCGUCCCUCGUGGACUCGGUCCCCCUGCGCCACAUUUCAGAAGGCUCCCCUUCCCCCUCCACGUGGACACACGGCCUCCUCCCCUCCCCCCUUGGUCUGUGGGUCUGCAAGGAGCCCUCGCGGGAAGCAGGAAGGAGCCGGGUCGCGGAGCGGUGGACAAGCCGGCGCCGUUGCUCCCCGCCCUCUCCGUAGAGCUGUUCCGGGCGCCGGUGCUGAGGGUGAUGGGUCCGCGGGAGGCCCGCGGCGCGGCGCUGGGCGGGGUGGUGCUGCGCUGCGACACGCGCCUGCACCCGCAGAAGCGCGACACGCCGCUACAGUUCGCGUUUUACAAGUACAGCCGCGCGGUGCGCCGCUUCGACUGGGGCGCCGAGUACACAGUUCCGGAGCCCGAGGUCGAGGAACUCGAAUCGUACUGGUGCGAGGCGGCUACCGCCACCCGCAGUGUCCGGAAACGCAGUCCGUGGGUGCAGCUCCCGGGGCCGGGUUCUCCCCUGGACCCGGCCUCCACCACCGCCCCAGCUCCAUGGGCCGCAGCCUUGGCUCCUGGUAACAGGCCGCUUUCCUUCAGAAAGCCCCCGGUGUCCAGAUCGGUUCCGUCGGUCACCUCCGUCCCGAACACCACCUCCACGGGGCUGCAGUUCCCGGCAAGCGGCGCCCCGACUGCGGGGCCACCCGCCUGCGCUCCGCCAACGCCCUUGGAACAAUCGGCUGGAGCCCUGAAACCCGACGUGGACCUUCUGCUCCGAGAAAUGCAGCUGCUCAAAGGCCUUCUGAGCCGGGUGGUCCUGGAAUUAAAGGAGCCACAGGCCCUCCCGGAGCUCAGGGGAACGCCCGAGACCCCUACCUCUCACUUUGCUGUGAGCCCGGGAACCCCUGAGACCACUCCUGUGGAGAGCUGAGGGGGCGGCUACCUUCCCCUCUGCAGGCUCAUUCCUCCCUGGUCUCCUGCUUCCCCUCAAGCGAAUUUCUUUCAAAGCCAUCUGUUUGCAUCCUUGUGUUUUGCUGUGGUUUUUAAAGGAGCGCCCACGAAGUGUGGUGGCUGACGAUUUCAACCUCACACAGCAGUUUGUAACCGCAAGCAUUCUCUUUGAAUUCUCCCAGAAUUCAGCAAGAAGUAGAAACCUGUUAUUUACUACACUGUGAUUUAACUUUGGAUGUGAAUUUAGUCACCCUUACCCCUUCAGAUAAGCCUAGCCAGUACAUAUUUCAGCACAGGCAGUUUUUUUGGUAUUUAAGUACAUUGAGGUAACUGAGGACUUGAGAAUAUUUUAGGGUCAAGGUGUAAUUAUUCAUAGUGAAUUUACUCUGUUGAUAUUAAAAAGACGUUCAGUCCUAUUACUGAUGAGUUUACAUCUUCAAAUAAAUCCUGGGUUCUAUUU